rnacentral:rRNA from 1 species
GACGAACGCUCGCGGCGUGCCUAAUACAUGCAAGUAGAACGCACAGUUUAUACCGUAGCUUGCUACACCAUAGACUGUGAGUUGCGAACGGGUGAGUAACGCGUAGGUAACCUGCCUGGUAGCGGGGGAUAACUAUUGGAAACGAUAGCUAAUACCGCAUAAUAUUGAUUAUUGCAUGAUAAUUGAUUGAAAGAUGCUAUUGCAUCACUACCAGAUGGACCUGCGUUGUAUUAGCUAGUAGGUGAGGUAACGGCUCACCUAGGCGACGAUACAUAGCCGACCUGAGAGGGUGAUCGGCCACACUGGGACUGAGACACGGCCCAGACUCCUACGGGAGGCAGCAGUAGGGAAUCUUCGGCAAUGGACGAAAGUCUGACCGAGCAACGCCGCGUGAGUGAAGAAGGUUUUCGGAUCGUAAAGCUCUGUUGUAAGAGAAGAACGGGUGUGAGAGUGGAAAGUUCACACUGUGACGGUAUCUUACCAGAAAGGGACGGCUAACUACGUG